UCUAUCAGAAUCCCAGCAUGUAAAUGCUGUGUUGAGCUCAUAAUGUGAAUCUUGUCUGUAUGUUUCAGGGACAGGAGAACACGCGUGUGUUUAUCCAGUGGAGAAGAGGCUCAUGAUGCUGAAUCAUGUCAUCAAAGGAUUUGAAGUGCAGAGCUUUUGUGGUGGACCAGGACCUGCAAGGAAAGAUGGUGGCAGCAUUUGUUGGGGGAAAAAGGAUCUGAAAUGUCUGCAGACUGGUGUGAGCACUGAGGAUGAGGAACCCAGAGCCUGGAAGUGGUCCCAUGAAUGAGACCCUCCAUCUCUCCAUCUGCCCUUAUGAGUCCCUCCAUCUCUCCACCUGCCCUUAUUGCCUCAGAUUGUGAAGCGCUUGCAGUAGGAUGUGGUGUUCAGCGCCUGUAAAUACAUGCUUGUACUUUGAAUAAAGCUUUGUUUCAUGUGUUGUUGACUUGUAUAUGCAUUUGUUUGUCCAAAAAAUACAAAUAAAAGUAACCAUCACAUUUUAAUUAAAGUUUCUUUCAUGAUAAAAACUAGUUUACUGCACUCAGCUGGGGCACCUGAGUCCAUAGCACCAAGCGCCAUCACAUAAUUCCACCGUCCACAAACUCAC